UACCCCUUUGAAGUAGAGAAACCAUAGUUAUUCUCUCUAUUCUGCUACCAUCGCCCAUAUACUAGAAUUGCUCUAUUCUCUAUUCCCAUAUUAUCACUCACUGUUAUCUUACCUUUAAUAUUGUUCUUAUUCGAUUCUACCAUCUUUCCUAUUUACACUUAUUUACUUAUCUUGGUUAAGUUAGAGCGUAGUUGGUUCUCCCGUUUCCCUGUGGAUACGAUAAAACCUUU
rnacentral:lncRNA from 1 species